rnacentral:rRNA from 1 species
UACGAAGGGGGCUAGCGUUGUUCGAAUGAUCUGGGCGUAAAGCGCGCGCAGGCGGUUUUUCAAGUCAGUGGUGAAAGCCCGGAGCUCAACUCCGGAACUGCCAUUGAAACUGUAAAACUUGAGGACGAGAGAGGUGAGUGGAAUUCCCAGUGUAGAGGUGAAAUUCGUAGAUAUUGGGAAGAACACCGGUGGCGAAGGCGGCUCACUGGCUCGUAUCUGACGCUCAGGCGCGACAGCGUGGGAGCAAACAGG